rnacentral:rRNA from 1 species
AGAUAAUAGAUACCCCGGUAGUCCACGCCGUAAACGAUGGAUGCUAGCCGUUGGCAGGCUUGCCUGUCAGUGGCGCAGCUAACGCAUUAAGCAUCCCGUCUGGGGAGUACGGUCGCAAGAUUAAAACUCAAAGGAAUUGACGGGGGCCCGCACAAGCGGUGGAGCAUGUGGUUCAAUUCGAAGCAACGCGAAGAACCUUACCAACCUUUGACAUGUCCCGUAUGGGUACCAGAGAUGGAAUCCUUCAGUUCGGCUGGCGGGAACACAGGUGCUGCAUGGCUGUCGUCAGCUCGUGUCGUGACGAUGUUGGGUUAAGUCCCGCAACGAGCGCAACCCUGCCCUUAGUGCCAUCAUUCAGUUGGGCACUCUAAGGGGACUGCCGGUGAUAAGCCGCGAGAA